GGACAUUUUGACGAAAUAAUUUUGGCACUAUGAGAAUUGAAAACCUAAAUUAGGGUUGUAAAUGAAUUAAAAUAAUACCUAUUAGGGCUACUGCAUAAUUAAAGAAUUAAGAGUUUUCUUACUUGAGCUUUGAAAAGCUUAGGCUUGGCUUGUUAAAUUUCUAUUGAGUUCAAGCUCGAGCUCGGAUUUAAAGUUGUAGUUCAACUCAUUCAAAUUUCAUUAGGCUUGAGUUAGCGAAACUAUUAAACGAACCCACUCACGAGCUUACUAACGGGUUGACUCACAAGCCUAUAAUCAAGUUGAGUAUUAGUGAGUUCGAGUUCAGCUUAUUAAGAAAAUGAGCCUAGUUGAGUCUUGAGUAGCUCGCAAGCUACUUGGCUUAUUAACACCCUUAGUUUUCUUUGAAGAUAAGGAGCUGAUUGUAACUCCAAGGAUAAGUACUCAGUGAUUGAUCUUAGAAGUCAUAAGAAAGCAUGGUCUAAAUUAAAUCUUUAAAGAGUUUUGGGAUAA
rnacentral:misc_RNA from 1 species